rnacentral:rRNA from 1 species
GUUAUUAAAUUGCUAAAGUAUUUUGACUUUACAAAGGUAUUGAAAUAAGGUUUUAAUUGGGCGCUAAGAGAAUGGAAAGAUAAAGAUUAGUUUUAUAAUUUUUUAAAAAUAAAAAUUCAUUUAAAAAUGAAAAAGUUUUUAUAAUUUUAUGGGACGAGAAGACCCUGUGAAUUUUGGUUAAUAUAUUAAUUUUGGUUAUUAUAUUAAUUUUGAUUGGGGCGAUAAAAAAAAAUUAGAUAACUUUAUUUUAAUGGCGUUAUAUGUGUUAAUAUAAAAAUACUCCAGGGAUAACAGCGUUAUUAUUUUGGAUAGUUCAUAUAGGUAAAAUAGUUUGCGACCUCGAUGUUGAAUUAACAAACCUGGUUGAGGUAGAGUUUAAUUAAGGAGGAUUGCUCAUCCUUUAAAUUGUUACGUGAUCUGAGUUCAGACCGGA